AUUGAACGCUGGCGGCAGGCUUAACACAUGCAAGUCGAGCGGAGAGAGGUAGCUUGCUACUGAUCUCAGCGGCGGACGGGUGAGUAAUGCUUAGGAAUCUGCCUAUUAGUGGGGGACAACAUUUCGAAAGGAAUGCUAAUACCGCAUACGUCCUACGGGAGAAAGCAGGGGAUCUUCGGACCUUGCGCUAAUAGAUGAGCCUAAGUCGGAUUAGCUAGUUGGUGGGGUAAAGGCCUACCAAGGCGACGAUCUGUAGCGGGUCUGAGAGGAUGAUCCGCCACACUGGGACGGAGACACGGCCCAGACUCCUACGGGAGGCAGCAGUGGGGAAUAUUGGACAAUGGGCGGAAGCCUGAUCCAGCCAUGCCGCGUGUGUGAAGAAGGCCUUAUGGUUGUAAAGCACUUUAAGCGAGGAGGAGGCUACUUUAGUUAAUACCUAGAGAUAGUGGACGUUACUCGCAGAAUAAGCACCGGCUAACUCUGUGCCAGCCGCCGCAGUAA
rnacentral:rRNA from 1 species